GGACACGCACAGGAAGCCUGGUGCGGGGAGCUGCUACCGGAGGACUGGUAUGUGAAGGUGGCACAGGAUGGACUGGACCGUGAAGGUGUACUGGAGAGCCUGAGAGCAGGACUGGCACAGGACGUGCAAGGCUAGGUAGAUACACAGGAGGCCUAGUGCGUGAGGCUGGCACAUUUCUCACCAGCCGACUAACACGCACCUCAGGACGAGUAUGGAGUGCUAAUCCAGGUGCCAUCAAAUCCCCGACACGCUCCGUUGGAUGAAUCUUGUACCUAACGCACCAAGCUAUCAACUCCCUCAUUACUCUCCACUCCACCUUCCCCAUUAACUCCCUCACAGUCUCUGCUUCGCUCACCUCUAACACCGGCUCUGGUUCUGGUCUCCUCCUUGGCUCUUCACGAUUAACAAGGAGAGUUGGCUCAGGUCUAUCUCCUGACUCAGCCACUCUCCCUCUGAGCCCCCCCCCCCAAUAAAUUUUUGGGGCUGCUUUUCGGGCUUCCCUCUGCGCCGUCGUGAUUGCCUCUCCAACUCCAUUCUCCUAUAGCCCUCUUCGCACUGCUCCAGCGAAUCCCAGGCGGGCUCCGGCACUCUCUCUGGGUCGACCGCCCACCUGUCUAUUUCUUCCCACGUCGUAUACUCCAUACCUCUGCUGUCCAUAACGUCCUCCCUUCGCUGCUCCUGCUGCUUGUUACCACGCCACUCGGUCCGUGUGUGGUGGGUGAUUCUGUAACGGCGUUCUUCGUUUGUCGAAAGAGAGUCGGACCGAAAUGCAGCGUGGUGGUUACUCAUGUCUUUAAUAAAGAAACGACGAUACAUGAAAUAACUUAUAGAUACAAAAACAACUAACGGAACGUGAAACCUAAUACAGCGUAUCUGGUGAACACUACACAGAGACAGGAACAAUCACCCACGAAAUACACAGUGAACCCCGGCUACCUAAAUACGGUUCCCAAUCAGAGACAACGAGAAUCACCUGACUCUGAUUGAGAACCGCCUCAGGCAGCCAAGCCUAUGCAACAUCCCUACUCAGCCGCAAUCCCAAUAACUACAAAACCCCAAUACGAAAUACCACAAAAUAAACCCAUGUCACACCCUGGCCUGACCAAAUAUAUAACGAAACACAAAACACUAUGACCAAGGCGUGACACGUCCUCUCACUUUCAACUAAGUUUAUUUUCAGCAAACUUAACAUGUGUAAAUAUUUGUAUGAACAUAACAAGAUUCAACAACUGGGACAUUAACUGAACAAAUUCCACAUAUCUGACUAACAGAAAGGGAAUAAUGUGUCCCUGAACAAAGGGGGGGUCAAAAUCAAAAGUAACAGUCAGUAUCUGGUGUGGCCACCAGCUGCAUUAAGUACUGCAGUGCAUCUCCUACUCAUGUACAGCAUCAGAUUUGCCUGUUCUUGCUGUGAGAUGUUACCUCACUCUUCCACCAAGGCACCUGCAAGUUCCCAGACAUUUCUGGGGGAAAUGGUCCUAGUCCUCACCCUCCGAUCCAACAGGUCCCAGACGUGCUCAAUGGGAUUGAGAUCCGGGCUUUUCGCUGGCCAUGGCAGAACACUGACAUUCCUGUCUUGCAGGAAAUCACACACAGAACGAGUAGUAUGGCUGGUGGCAUUGUCAUGCUGGAGGGUCAUAUCAGAAUGAGGUUGUCUUCCCUGUAACGCACAGCGCUGAGAUUGCCUGCAAUGACAACAAGCUCAGUCCGAUGAUGCUGUGACACACCGCCUCAGACCAUGACGGACCCUACACCUCCAAAUCGUUCCCGCUCCAGAGUACAGGCCUCGGUGUAACGCUCAUCCCUUCUACGAUAAACGGGAAUCCGACCAUCACCCCUGAUGAGACAAAACCGCGACUCGUCAGUGAAGAGCACUUUUUGCCAACCCUGUCUGGCAAGCAACGGUGGGUUUAUGCCCAUAGGUGAUGUUGUUGCCGGUGAUGUCUGGUGAGGACCUGCCUUACAACAGGCCUACAAGCCCUCAGUCCAGCCUCUCUCAGCCUAUUGCGGACAGUCUGAGCACUGAUGAAGGGAUUGUGCGUUCCUGCUGUAACUCGGGCAGUUGUUGUUGCCAUCCUGUACCUGUCCCACAGGUGUGAUGUUCGGAUGUACCGACCCUGUGCAGGUGUUGUUACACGUGGUCUACCACUGCAAGGACGAUCAGCUGUCCAUCCUGUCUCCUUGUAGUGCUGUCUUAGGCGUCUCACAGUACGGACAUUGCAAUUGAGUUCAUAUGAUUCCAUAUGUGGUAUUACAUAGUUUUGAUGUCUUCAUUAUUGUUCUACGAUGUAGAAAAUAGUAAAAAUAAAGAAAAUCCCUUGAAUGAGUAUGUUUGUCCAAACUUUUGACUGCUACUGUAUGUAACCCAUACUUAAAUGAGGAGCGGUCUGUGGCAGAAGUUAAGGUUAUUGACGCUGCAAAAAAAUGGGAAAGCGUUUGGCAUUGAUGCACUGCCCAAUGAAGUUUUAAAAUCCCCUAAAUGAAUUGACGUCCUUCAUGAUUUGCUCCAAAUUUGUCUUGAGUACAUUAUACUGCCAUCCACUUUGCAUAAGUCUAUAUUGAAUCCCAUUCCCAAAUCUUCAAAAAAUGACCCGAGAGUGCAAUUGAACUAUAGAGGUUUAUAUAACUUAUAUUCAUCCAUCCUCAACAAUAGGCUAAUGACCAUUUGGAGGAUCAGAACAUUCUGGUGGAAGAACAAAAUGUUUUAUGUAAAUUCAGAGCCUGUAUAGAUAAUAUCGUCUCUGUCUGUACAGUAAUCAGAAAUAGAUUACACGAAGAGAAGCCUACUUUUUCAUGUGUCAUUGAUUUCCAGAAAGCUUUUGAUUUUGUAAAUAGGGAUAUUUCAGCCUAUAGUUGGUUAAUGCCUGGGGUUGAUGUGAAAUUUGAUCACGCAAAUCAGUCUCUUUACAAAGUACCAAUUGCUUGUGUGCGUGUUAAUUAAUCUCGUACAGAUUGGUUUCCCACAAACUCGGGUGUAAAACAAGGAGACGCCUUGUCACCGACUUUGUUUGCUAUGUUUAUAAAUGAUUUGCCAAAAGAAACUAAACAGUUAAAUAUUAGAGUAAGAUAUGAUGAUGAAAUGCUAAGUAUCUUUUUGUAAGCUGAUGAUAUUAUUUAGAUGGCAGAAACGGAACAAGACCUGCAGAACAUGUUAUUAUGUGCAGUCUGUUGGUGUAAAAGAUGGAGACUCAUGAUCAACCAGACAAACACAGAUAAUGACUUUUAGAAACCAGGUACUAAGAGAAGUUCUCUUCUUGAGUUUACUAGCAAUUAUAAAUAUUUGGGAAUUUUUAUUGAUGAACAUUUUACCUUUCUAUACGGACCAUCUGCCCUGGCCGACUCAGCGAGUAGAGCUCUUAGGGGAGUUAUAGGAAAAACUAAACCACUGAAAGAUAUUGGUUGCGCUGCGUAUUCUAAACUGUAUUAGACAUGCGUGAGUCCUGUUCUGGACUAUUCAGCAGGAGUGUGGGGUGCUAAGAGGUAUUUUAAAAUGAACAUGUUCAUAACAGAGCUGUACAUUACUGUUUAGGUGUCCACACGUGUUCUGGGAACCCUGUGAGGUGAGAUGGAAGGAAUGCAUGGUGAGACUUUGGAAUAGACUGUUAGAUAUGCCUACUGUCAGAAUAGCUCGGAGCAUGGAGAUACUAUAGACAUUUUUCAGUGGGAUCUAUCCAUAGGGGGAGCCUGGGCAACUGAAACGUCUGACCUUUUUCAACAGUCUGACUGUGAACAUCUGUACCAAAACCAAAUUAAGGGAGACAUCGAUAUGAUGCCGUAUGGGGGAAAAAAUAUGGGUGGAGGAGAUUAAUUAUAGACCCAAAUUGAGAACCUUUUGUUAAAUUAACGGUGAAUUUGUUUGUGAGAGAGAUAUAUUAUGUAUAACCUAAUUAAAAGCAAGAGAUUGCUAUGUGCACAGGUAAUAGCAGGGAUAUUGCCUCUGCGUACUGAAACAGGUCAGAUCAGGGAUAUUGCCUCUGCGUAUUGAAACAGGUCAGAUCAGGUAUAUUGUCUCUGCUUAUUGAAACAGGUCAGAUCAGGGAUAUUGUCUCUGCUUAUUGAAACAGGUCAGAUCAGGGAUAUUGCCUCUGCGUAUUGAAACAGGUCAGAUCAGGGAUAUUGCCUCUGCGUAUUGAAACAGGUCAGAUCAGGGAUAUUGCCUCUGCGUAUUGAAACAGGUCAGAUCAGGAAUAUUGCCUCUGCGUAUUGAAACAGGUCAGAUCAGGGAUAUUGCCUCUGCGUAUUGAAACAGGUCAGAUUAGGGAUAUUGCCUCUAUCGUAUUGAAACAGGUAUUGUGGUGAAAUGGAAGAGGAAGACUAUGUAACUAUUGUGACCUCGAAGAAAUAGAGAAUGAAACUCAUUUGAUCCUCUAUUGCCCUUUCUACCACGACUUAUUCCAGAAAGUACACCAGAUAUACCUUGGCAUGGCAUUAUGUGGCUGAGCGAUGAGGAUAAACUGAAUGUUUUUUUGUCCAUUGUGUAUUUCCGUUUGCGGAAUAUUUAAAGCCUGGAAUAAAAGAAAAGGGCUACCUAUAAUUCAAUUGUAAAAAUAUUCAGCUUCUAUGUGGUAAAUGGCACGUGUGUAUAAAGAUUGUGUAUAGGCUUGUCUCCCAUAUGAAUCUUCUAUGUGGUAAAUGGCACGUGUGUAUAUAGAUUGUGUAUAGGCUUGUCUCCCAUAUGAAUCUUCUAUGUGGUAAAUGGUACGUGUGUAUAAAGAUUGUGUAUAGGCUUGUCUCCCAUAUGAAUCUUCUAAGUGGUAAAUGGCACGUGUGUAUAUAGAUUGUGUAUAGGCUUGUCUCCCAUAAGAAUCUUCUCUUUGUGCCAGACUGGGUUCAAAUGGCUUCCGUUUCUAUGUUAUGUAAAAAUGCGUAUAUAUACAGUGUGUAUGUAUGUACAUUAUUGUAUUGCUCUAGAGAUAUAAUUCUUGUUUGGAUAACCUUAUUUAUUAUUACAUAUAGAUUUGUACUUGACAUUUUUUCACUCUUUAUGCGAUGCGCAAUGCAGAGAACACUAGAAGAGGAAUUAGCAUUUUAUUACCACGGUGAAUUAUUGUAAUGUUUGUUUAUGUGUCACUUAAUCCCAUAAGGGACGGGUUGCCAAUUGGCGAUUUGACACACAAAUAAAAUGUCAUUCAUUCA